CUACGUGCCAGCAGCCGCGGUAAUACGUAUGUCGCAAGCGUUAUCCGGAAUUAUUGGGCAUAAAGGGCAUCUAGGCGGCCCUGUAAGUCUAGGGUGAAAACCUGCGGCUCAACCGCAGGCCUGCCCCGGAAACUACAGGGCUGGAGUAUUGGAGAGGUGGACGGAACUGCACGAGUAGAGGUGAAAUUCGUAGAUAUGUGCAGGAAUGCCGAUGAUGAAGAUAGUUCACUGGACGAUAACUGACGCUGAAGUGCGAAAGCUGGGGGAGCGAACAGGAUUAGAUACCCUGGUAGUCCCAGCUGUAAACGAUGAUUACUGGGUGUGGGCAUGAAGAGUGUCCGUGCCGAAGCAAAUGCGAUAAGUAAUCCGCCUGGGGAGUACGGCCGCAAGGCUGAAACUCAAAGGAAUUGACGGGGACCCGCACAAGCGGUGGAGCAUGUGGUUUAAUUCGACGCAACGCGAGGAACCUUACCAGAUCUUGACAUCCUG
rnacentral:rRNA from 1 species